rnacentral:tRNA from 1 species
UCCCCGGUAGCUCAGACGGUAGAGCGCCUGACUGUUAAUCAGGCUGUCGGCGGUUCGAGCCCGUCCCGGGGAGCCA